GAUUUCUGGCUUGAUGUGCUUGGCCCGCCGCGGCUUCGCGUGUGAGUGCCGGGUCGCGUCUGCCAUCCUUCUAGGGAACGCUUCUACCCUUCAUUGGGCCGGGAGUCGCAAUCUAGAUCUUUUACUUUGAAAAAAUUAGAGUGUUUAAAGCAGGCUUUUGCUAUGAAUACAUUAGCAUGGAAUAAUAAUUUAGGACUUCGGUUCUAUUUUGUUGGUUUCUAGGACUGAAGUAAUGAUUGAUAGGGAUAGUUGGGGGUGCUAGUAUUCAGUGGCCAGAGGUGAAAUUCUCGGAUUCACUGAAGACUAACUUAUGCGAAAGCAUU
rnacentral:rRNA from 1 species